rnacentral:rRNA from 1 species
AGAGUUUGAUCAUGGCUCAGAACGAACGCUGGCGGCAGGCUUAACACAUGCAAGUCGAACGCAUCCCUUCGGGGGUGAGUGGCAGACGGGUGAGGAACGCGUGGGAAUCUACCCUUUGGUUCGGGACAACCCAGGGAAACCUGGGCUAAUACCGGAUACGCCCAUUCUUUCGGGGAUGGGGAAAGAUUAAUUGCCGAAGGAUGAGCCCGCGUCGGAUUAGCUAGUUGGUGGGGUAACGGCCCACCAAGGCGACGAUCCGUAGCUGGUCUGAGAGGAUGAUCAGCCACACUGGGACUGAGACACGGCCCAGACUCCUACGGGAGGCAGCAGUGGGGAAUAUUGGACAAUGGGCGCAAGCCUGAUCCAGCCAUGCCGCGUGAGUGAAGAAGGCCUUAGGGUUGUAAAGCUCUUUCAGCGGGGACGAUAAUGACGGUACCCGCAGAAGAAGCCCCGGCUAACUUCGUGCCAGCAGCCGCGGUAAUACGAAGGGGGCUAGCGUUGUUCGGAAUUACUGGGCGUAAAGCGCGCGUAGGCGGACAUUUAAGUCAGGGGUGAAAUCCCGGGGCUCAACCUCGGAACUGCCUUUGAUACUGGGUGUCUGGAGUCCGGAAGAGGUUGGUGGAAUUCCGAGUGUAGAGGUGAAAUUCGUAGAUAUUCGGAGGAACACCAGAGGCGAAGGCGGCCAACUGGUCCGGUACUGACGCUGAGGCGCGAAAGCGUGGGGAGCAAACAGGAUUAGAUACCCUAGUAGUCC